UGUUGAGAUUUAAAUGGGUUUGAUUUGGAUUAUUCUGAGAGGAUUACAAAUAAUCCAAUGGGUGUCGUUUGGUUCGCAUUAUGAAAGAUUACUAGAAAUAAAAGAUAUUCGAGAAUCUUAUUCCUAUUCAUCCUAUUACUAAGAAUGUGGAAUUCCUGUGUUUGGUUCGCACGCUAAUAUUAAUUAGCCAUAUUAUUUAAUAUUACAAAAAAUAUACAAUUUAUUUAUUUAUUUAUUUAUUUAUUUAUUUUUAAAUAAUGUUACCAAAAGUUUAAACAUUUUUUUAGAAAAGAGAGAGAGAGUAUAAGUUAGAGAGAGAGAGCAUAAUUAAAAAAAUAGAAAAAAAAUAUAGUCGAAAUUAGAGGGAGUGAGAGAGUUGAAAUUUUAGAAAGAGAGAGAGAGAGAGAAAGCUUAGUUAGAGAGAGAAAAAAAGUUCAGAGAAAGAUAUAAGG
rnacentral:lncRNA from 1 species